UACGUAGGGCGCAAGCGUUGUCCGGAAUUAUUGGGCGUAAAGAGCUCGUAGGCGGCUUGUCACGUCGGGUGUGAAAGCCCGGGGCUUAACCCCGGGUCUGCAUUCGAUACGGGCUAGCUAGAGUGUGGUAGGGGAGAUCGGAAUUCCUGGUGUAGCGGUGAAAUGCGCAGAUAUCAGGAGGAACAUCGGUGGCGAAGGCGGAUCUCUGGGCCAUUACUGACGCUGAGGAGCGAAAGCGUGGGGAGCGAACAGG
rnacentral:rRNA from 1 species